rnacentral:rRNA from 1 species
UGCUUAAAUUAUAAUUUUAAGUAAAAUCUGCUCCAUGUAUAAAUAAAUAGCCGCAGUAAAUUUACUGUGCUAAGGUAGCAUAAUCAUUAACCUUUUAAUUAAAGGCUAGAAUGAACGAUUUUACAUAUUAAUUCCUUUUUUUAUAAAAAUUAUUAAAAUUAAAUUAAAAAUAAAAAUGUUUUUAUAUAUAAAAAAGACGACAAGACCCUAUUGAACUUUACUAAAGUUUAGCUGGGGCAGCUAAUUAAAUAUUAUUUUAAUUAUUUUCCUAUAAACCACCAAUAAAAUUGAUUUUAAUAAGUUACCAUAGGGAUAACAGCGUAAUAAAUUUUAAAAGUUCUUAUUUAAAAAAAAGUUUGCGACCUCGAUGUUGAAUUAAUUUUACUUUAAAACGCAAUUGUAUUAAAAGUAGGUCUGUUCCGCCUUUAAAUAAUUACA